UUUUACAAUGAAGAGUUUGAUCCUGGCUCAGGAUGAACGCUAGCUACAGGCU
rnacentral:rRNA from 1 species